UCUUGUCUUGCCUCCAUUUCUUCGCGUCUCCUAUCCUCUCAUUCCCUUACAGGAAUCGUCACGGUACCCACGUUGCAUGCCCCGCGGGUCGGGGCCGGAGUUAAAACAAAAUACAAAUAGAGACUAGACUUGAAAAUUCCCUGAACAGCAGAACCAGCUAAGCCAUGCCGACCAGAAGUGAGUGAAAGAGGCUGCUUGCCAGGAGGUGAAUGAGAAUAGAAAUGAAAUGAGUCUGGCUUUCAAAUGCCAAACGGGUAGCCAAAAACUCCUGGCUUGAUUUGGAAUACCAGUAAUAUCAAUUGAUAGGAAAAAUUAUACUUUGUCAGCCCCAAGCCCUCAACUAAUUUUUUAAACGGGUAA